GACGAAGGGGGCUAGCGUUGUUCGGAAUUACUGGGCGUAAAGCGCGUGUAGGCGGUUCUCCAAGUCCGGUGUGAAAGCCUUGAGCUCAACUCAAGAAAUGCACUCGGUACUGGGUGACUAGAGGACCGGAGAGGAUAGUGGAAUUCCCAGUGUAGUGGUGAAAUACGUAGAGAUUGGGAAGAACACCAGUGGCGAAGGCGGCUAUCUGGACGGUUUCUGACGCUAAGACGCGAAAGCGUGGGGAGCAAACAGG
rnacentral:rRNA from 1 species